UAUUGUUGUUAGUUCCGCUUUGCACCAGUUCAAUUUCAUCUUGCAUCAGUAUCAGGGAAUAAUUCCAUUAAAUCUAUUAAAACAAAAGAACUGUUGUCUUCUAUGAAAUCGUAAAGACACCACUCAAAAUACCAAUUCUCCGCAAAGGUGCUACACAUACCUCAGGACCAGAGAGUGUUAAAUAUUCCAGUUUGAGUAUAUCAGAAUACGAGUGUAUAAGAAAAAUGGCGGUUAAUUUCCGUGUCUUGCUGUUAGUUUGUGCAGUAAUGAUCAAUGGUGAAGAAUUCAUCUGGACAUCUCCUAUAGAGGAUGGUUUGCUGCAGGUCAAGGAAGGAGAAGAUAUAUCGUUACUAUGGGAAUAUCAAGCAGACUCGUCGCCAAGCAUGGUUCUAAUUAAAACAGAGGAUGUAGUAAUCGGCAUCUGGGCUGAGAAGCAAAAUAAUUUCACACCAACAACUUAUUUUCAAGGGAGAGUCAUGUUCAACAGAAUUGAUAUCAAGCAAGAUUACUCAGGAUUAUACGGAGAAAGGGUCGAGUUGAAAUUGAUGAACGCCCGUAGAAAUGAUUUAAAUGUACUGUACACCUGUCAAAUCAUCCUUAAAAACUCGAUUAUUCAGCAGAAGGACAUCAGGGUAGAUUGCCCAGAUUCGUCAUAUGAUAGACCUGUGUAUGAAACAGUCCGACUCAACGGCUGUAUACCUGCCUCCAUUGUAUUUGGUGUGUUGAUCAUUGUUCUUUGUGUUUCUGUCGUCGUGUGUAUCUUCCUGAGAAAACCUAGAAGUAAGAAGGGUGGCCAAGGUUGAUUUAAUUGGUUGCUUUCAAAUAUCAUGACGAAGCCUAUAUUACAUCGCCUAAUUUUGUGUAAUAAUAAUGUCAUAGUGUGCAACAAACAUAUAUUAAUUAAUUAAGUCGGUACAGAAUGGCGGGACGUUAAACACCAUUUACUGUAUAUUGUAUUAUCUCUCUAGUUAGGUUAAUAUAUGGAAAAUACCCCUUCAACCCCCCAAAUAUUGCUACAAAAGGUUUCUCAACUGAAAUGGUGUAUUUACCCCGUCUCAAAAUUUUAGCUCAAAAUACCGAGUCGUUUCGACAUGAACAUCAAAACUGCUUAUCCGGGCACGUAACCCUUUUAAGAUUUCGGGUCAAUUUUUUCGUUUUCGAUGGGUGACCUGAUAAUCGAUUCCCGUUCCUUUUGAGGUUUAUACAGUGAAUGACCCAUGUGCUAUACUUGAUAACGAAAGGUAAAUUUCACCUACACAUUAUUCUUAUAAAAUAAAAGUCUGGUUUUAUCCAGACACUGCAUAAUACAGCUUGGGACACCGGUCUCCAUUUCCAGAUGAAGACUGACGGAUUUAAGUUGUUUGAAAACGUAUCACACAUAUUGAGUUAGUUGCUCGGCCCUAAUGUAGAGGAUUUUAAGGGAUUUUAAUACAAAAUUAGGCAGUUUUAUUCUCCAAAAUAUUAUCGGGAUUGACCCUUUAUGAUUGGUAAAAUGUGUUCAAAUCAUGUAUUAUCAUUUAUCUCGAGUAAAAAACAAAAUGACAAAAUCCUAUGUUAAUUUUUCUCAAUAUAUGUACGUUUUGGUUUUUUUAAAAUAUAUGCUAUUUUCUUUCUUAAAAUUAUAUUUUGAUUGUAUGAUUUUAAAAUAUAUGCUAUUUUCUUUCUUAAAAUUAUAUUUUGAUUGUAUGAUUUUCCUUUUUGUAAUGUUUAGAAAUGACGUUUAUAUCGUGUGUAUUGUUAUGCUGAGCGCCAUGGAAAACGCAUCACUUAGUUUUUCGUAUAACAAAAUGAUCCUGUAAACAUAUCUUAUUUAUUUUGCUUCUUAUUGUGAACAAUAUUCAAAUGGGAACACAUCAAUAACAACACAUUUGUACACUUAUGGAUGUUUAAUCUGUAAUCAACGGUACAAAGUCAGAGGGGUCAAAACCAAAAGUACGACACAGAUGUCAGUAGCGCGUGAGUCCUCCACGGGCUCUUACGCACGCUGUGCAGCGACGUCGCAUGGAAUUUACCAAUGUUUGAAAGAAGGCCUGGGGCAAAUUGUUCCAUUCUUGGACAAGAGCAGCUUCUAAAGCAGCAAUGGUGUACAUCUGUGGUCUCCGAUACAGACGGCGUCGAAUCUCAUUCCAGACAUGUUCUAUCGGUGCCAUGUCCGGAGACAUGGCUGGCCAGUCCAAGACAUUGAUGUUGUUAGCAGCCAGGUAGUCCAUACUAAACCGGGCGGUAUGCGGACGUGCAUUAUCCUGUGCUGAAGUUGUGGGUGCGCUCGAAACAUCGGAACAACAACUGGUUGCAAGACAUCAUCACGGUAGGCUACAGCAUUAACGCGACCCCUGCAAAUGUGUAGGGCGGUCCGGUGAUGAAAUGUGAAGCCUCCCCACACCAUUACACUUAUCCCCACCCCAUCGAUUCGUUUCGAAGACGCAGCAGUCUGCAAGACGUUCCCCAAAACGUCUCCACACACAUUGACGGCCACCAGCGUGAUAAAGAUGAAAGCGACUCUCAUCACUGAAGAGUACACUUUGCCAGUCUACUCUUAUCCAUGUCUGGUGUCCUUGAGCCCAUAUCAAACGCCGCUGACGGUGAUGAUCCCUGAGGAUAGCUCCAACAUAAGGUCGUCCUACUUCUCUUAGACGACGUCUUACGGUGUUGGCACUUAUUGGUCCUUGUCUUCCGACGACUGCUGCACCUGUUCGAGUCGCUGGGCGGAAUCUGACACGCAGAUGAGUGACCCGGGUGUAGCGGUCUUGAGCCUGGGUUGUAACGCGUUGUGGGCCAGGACGUUGACGGUCACGUGUUGAUCCAGUAACUCGAACACGUUCCACCAACCUUACAAUAGUGGACUGAUGACAAUUGAAGUGUUUGGCAAUAGCACGUGUAGACAUGCCAGCCUUGGACAUUCCCAUGGCUUCAUUCCGUUGAUUUUCAGUAAGUCUCGGCAUCUCUAGCUCGAUUCCUUCACACGUCCAACAACAAAUUACGACAGAUUGACGUUUCACAGUUCAUGUACUGUACAUUAAGUUGAAAACGUGCUUUUAAAGGGCUCACACACAAUGCUGCACGUGAAUAUUGGGUUUUUCAUGUGCAUCUCGUGCAUUCUAUUUUUUGUGCACACGGGCCGAUAUUUUUUGCGUUUGGGAGCAUUGUGUGAAAAAAUAGUUCAUAGUAUUGCAUAAAAUUAUACAUACAAAACCACCUGGUAAUAAAAUAUUUUGGAAAAAAAGUGAUGCGUUUUCCAUGGCGCUCAGUAUAUUAUCAUUUACAAUAUGUGAAGCCAGUAUUCAACCUCUGAGAAUUGUAUUAGUUUGUUGUUUAAUUAGUAAAUAACUUGUGGGUAGGAUAGGAAUGUGACAAAGUACUCAGCUGGUUUUUGAUAAUAUAUGAUAUUGACUUUUCAACUCUGUAUAAACUUCUGUGAUCUAAUUAAACAUGUAAUU